rfam:Loxodonta africana unplaced genomic scaffold scaffold_40, whole genome shotgun sequence.
ACAGAGGUUCUACUUAGAACCAUCUCUUGUAAUAAACUCUAAAACU